CAUGCCCAUGGCAUGUGGAUUUUCCUGGCCAGGGAUCAAACUCAUGUCAUGAUAGUGACCCAAGCCACAGCACUGACAACACCAGAUCCCCAAACCACUGAGCUGCCAGGGAACUCCUAUGAAUUGACUUUUUUAAAUCAGAAAACUUGGAAGACAGAGGCAGUGGAAUGAUAUAUUUAAAUUUUUUUUUGUCUUUUUGCCACUUCUUGGGCCACUCCUGUGGCACAUGGAGGUUCCCAGGCUAGGGGUUGAAUAGGAGCUGCAGCCACCAGCCUACACCAGGGCCACAGCAACGCAGGAUCCAAGCUGCAUCUGUGACCUAUACCACAGCUCAUGGCAACACCAGAUCCUUAACCCACUGAGCAAGGCCAAGAAUCAAACCUGCAACCUCAUGGUUCCUAGUUGGAUUCAUUAACCACUGAGCCACGAUGGGAACUCUGACAUAGUUAAAUUUCUUAAAGAAAAAUUUGUCAACAGAGAUUUCCAUAUCCAGCAAAAAUGUCCUUCAAGAAUGAGGGGAAAACAAAGACAUUCCAAUAUAAACAAAACCAAGAGAGUGCAUUACCACUAGGCCUGUCCUAAAGAAAUUCUAAAGAGAAUCCUAUAGGUUCAAGUCAAAGGAUGCUAGACAGUAACAUAAAUUGAAUGAAGAUAUAAAGUUUUCCAGUAAAUGUAAAUGGAUGGGCAUAUAUAUAAAAUAUUAUUUCCUUUUUGUUCUAAGUUGCCUCAAAAAGUACAAUCUACUCCAUAUCAAAAGUUCCCCAAAGUAACUACUAUAAUUCCAAAUUGUACCUGGUAAAAUUGCACCAGUUAGAGACAUUAACUUAAAUUAACAUAUAGGGUUUCUACAUUAUCCAACUUUUUUCUAGUAUAAAUAGUCUGAUAUUCUACAAAAAGAAGUAUAGAAAGUGAAGACUUUCAUAGUUAAUUAAAUUAUUAAUUCUCCCAUGCUGAGAAAAAUGUAAACAUUACCUAAAGUCCUUCCUAAAUUCCUAAAAUUUUUCCUUACCAGAAUGAAUUAUUUGAUGAAAACUAAGAUCUCUAACACAAAAUAAAGGUCUUCCCACAUACCUUGCUUUCACAGAGUUUCUCCAUUGUAUGAAUCCUCUGAAGUUGAGUAAUUCAGUACCCACAAUUUAAGUUCUCUCUACAUAUUUUAUAUUUAUAGGUUUUUCAACAGUAUGAAUUCUCUUUUGCUUAUUCAGGUGUCUUCCUUUACUAAAAGGUUCCUUACAUUCCCUAUAUUCAUAAUAAUUCACAUCAGUAUAAAUUCAUCAACAUGUACUAAAUUUUGAAUUAUAUCUAAGAGCUUCACACAUUCUUAACAUUCAAAGAGGUUCUUACCAAUAUGCAUGUUCUUAAGAAACCUGUUAUAAAUGGUUUCCCACUUUGAUUACAUUCACAGGGUGUUUUUAAAAAAUUUUUUUACCAAUAUUAAUAAUCUGAUAUUGCAGAAGUUGUCCACAUACAGUAAAGGCUUUAUUGAAAUUUUUAUGGUAAUAAAUGGCUUUUCUCACAUUUCUUACAUUUAUAAAGAUUAUCAUCAGUAUGAAUUCUCUAUCUUGAAGAAAGAACUCAAUUCACUCUAAAGACCUUCUUUAUAUUCCAGUGAUUUCUCACCUGUAUGAAUUCUCUGAUGCUAAGUAACUUGUCCACACAUAAAAGUUUUCUUUAGGAGUUCCCAUCAUGGCUCAGCAGAAAUGAAACUAACUAGCAUCCAUGAAGAUGCAGGUUCGAUCCCUGGCCUCACUCAGUGUGUUAAGGAUCAGGCGUUGAGUUGUGGUGUAGGUCACAGAUGCAGAUCGGAUACUGCAUUGCUGUGGCUAAGGCAAAGGCCAGCAGCUACCACUCUGAUUCGACCCCUAACCUGGGAACCUCCAUAUGCUGCAAGUGCAGCCCUAAAAAGGGUUAAAAAAAAAGAGAGAGAAAGAUUUUCUUUCUCCUUACAUUCAUAACAUUUAUCCUGAGUAUGAAUUCUCUUGUUUUGAAGAAAGAAGGGAAUCAGGUCUAAAGACCUUCCCACAUUGUUUAUAUUCCUAUUAUAUCUCAUUGUAUGAAUACUCUGAUGUGGAUAAUUUGUCCACACAUAUUGAAGGCUUUAUUGCAUUUCUAACAGUCAUAAAGCAUUUCGCCAGUAUGAAUUCUCUAUAUGAAUUCUCUAUGGAGUGCUAAGGAUUGAAUUAAAUUUAAACAACUUCUCACAUUCCUUACAUUUAUUGUGUUUUUUAACCAGUAUGAGUUCUCUGAUGUUGAGUAAAGUGAUAUUCAUCAUUGAAGGUUAUUCCACAGUCUUUCUGAUUAAACCAUUUUAAUUAAACAUUAAAGCAUGUUUUCUCUGAAUUUUGAAAAAGGCUGAAUUUGUGUUAUUGCCUCAAUACACAUUCUGCAUGAGAUAUGUGAUAGAAAAUGAGAGAAUGCAGUCACUUUUAUAGGUAAUAAUUUGGGUAAAAUAUUUCUUUUGAGUUACCUGAAACCUCUUAAGCAUGCUCUCAUACUUCCAGCCAUUUAUAAAAAUAGAGGCCUUAAGUUCAAAUGUAUUACUUCUUAAACUGAUUCCUUAAUUCCUGGAGCACAUAUUUAGUGCCUUCUCUCCAUAUUUCUGGGCACAAAUGCUAUUGUGGUGCUAGAGGGGGAAAGCUCCAGAACUAUACUGAUGUACCUCUAGCAGAGGUUUCCUUCUUAGAGGAAACCAAAUUAAUGGUAAGAUAUUUUUGUGCAGCUCACUACUUAACUUUACCAAUAAUCUUGUAGGCUUAUAAUUUCAAAUAUGAAUAUCAUCCCAAUUUAAAGUACCUGUACUUUUUUUAUUCUGGCCUCCAACACUG
rnacentral:lncRNA from 1 species